GUGGGUGUAGCUCAGUUGGUUAGAGUGGAGGAUUGUGGUUCCUUAGGUCGUGGGUUCGAACCCCAUCUCCCACCC
rnacentral:tRNA from 1 species